GAACACAGAAGUUAAGCUCUUCAGUGCCGAUGGUACUUGACUGGCAACGGUCCGGGAGAGUAGGUCGUUUGCCGCA
rnacentral:rRNA from 1 species